GGAAUAUUGGACAAUGGGGGCAACCCUGAUCCAGCAAUGCCGCGUGUGUGAAGAAGGCCUUCGGGUUGUAAAGCACUUUAAGUUGGGAGGAAAAGCUUGUGGUUAAUAACCGCAAGUGUUGACGUUACCAACAGAAUAAGCACCGGCUAACCCCGUGCCAUCAGCCGCGGUAAUACGGGGGGUGAAACCGUUAAUCGGAAUUACUGGGCGUAAAGCGCGCGUAGGCGGUUUGUUAAGUCAGAUGUGAAAUCCCCGGGCUCAACCUGGGAAUGGCAUUUGAGACUGGCAGGCUAGAGUGUGGUAGAGGUGAGUGGAAUUUCAGGUGUAGCGGUGAAAUGCGUAGAGAUCUGAAGGAACAUCAGUGGCGAAGGCGACUCACUGGGCCAUUACUGACGCUGAGGUGCGAAAGCGUGGGUAGCA
rnacentral:rRNA from 1 species